GUUGUUGUGGAGAAAUCAAUUGUGUGGAACGGGUUGUUGUGGGGUUGAGACCUUAUCAGCUCUCCUUACUCUUUACCUUUUUCACGCAAUGCACUUUCUCUUUAACAAGUCAACAUCAAUUUCUUUUGUUGUAAAAGGGUCGGCGGAAGGUGGCUUUCUUUUCGGAGAAAGUGUUUAUAGCCGUUGGUCUCUACAAUCGGAGAGAUUGAGGUCUGCAGCGUAGAUCCUUCGGGGUUAGAUACGUCGGUGCUAAGUUAUAAUCCUAUAUAGACAACUUGUUGACUAUGUUCGAUCAUGUAGCUUACUCGCUGGCGCUAUUUUACCUAC
rnacentral:rRNA from 1 species